UACGUAGGGGGCAAGCGUUGUCCGGAUUUAUUGGGCGUAAAGAGCUCGUAGGUGGUUCGGUAAGUCGGAUGUGAAAUCUCCGAGCUCAACUCGGAAAUGGCAUUGGAAACUACCUUGCUCGAGGGUUGGAGGGGGGACUGGAAUACUUGGUGUAGCAGUGAAAUGCGUAGAUAUCAAGUGGAACACCAGUGGCGAAGGCGAGUCCCUGGACAACUCCUGACACUGAGGAGCGAAAGCCAGGGGAGCAAACGGG
rnacentral:rRNA from 1 species